CCUGGAUCGUCCAGCUCAGCUUGGAUGUCGGGUUAGGCUGUCUGCGCUCUGCGCACCUUAUCGAUAAAAUAUUGGACCCGCCCACUCGCAGGUUUCUGCAGGUCGAAUGAGCUAAUGUGACGGCCUAUUAAGAGGCCCAGGGAGGAGAUUCAGGCAGAAGAAGAAGACCUCAGGGACUAAUCAGAUGCUUGCCUGCGUGGUCUAGGCUGGGUGAGGGGUUGGGACUGCUCUGGAGGCCUUUUCCAGGAAAGGGGUUGAGACACAGGCUCUGAAGCUGGGUCUGUUUGGCUGUGUUAUUUCCAGGCACUGUCUUGGGAUUUAGAGACACAGCAAGGAACAAAAGAGAGUCCUUGUGUUGAUGGCACCGAUGAAGCAGGGGAGGCAAAUAACGAAGAUGUGGACAAUUCCUAUGCCAUCACUUGGUGAUCACCAAAUCAGUGGACAUGAGUUUGAGCAAACUCUGGGAGACAGCAAAAGACGGGGAGGCCUGGCGUGCUGCAGU